rnacentral:rRNA from 1 species
UACAGAGGUCUCAAGCGUUGUUCGGAUUCAUUGGGCGUAAAGGGUGCGUAGGUGGCGCCGUAAGUCAGGUGUGAAAUUUCGGAGCUUAACUCCGAAACUGCAUUUGAUACUGCGGUGCUUGAGGACUGGAGAGGAGACUGGAAUUUACGGUGUAGCAGUGGAAUGCGUAGAGAUCGUAAGGAAGACCAGUGGCGAAGGCGGGUCUCUGGACAGUUCCUGACACUGAGGCACGAAGGCCAGGGGAGCAAACAGG